AUUGAACGCUGGCGGCAGGCUUAACACGUGCAAGUCGAGCGGGGAAGGGUAGCUUGCUACCUGACCUAGCGGCGGACGGGUGAGUAAUGCUUGGGAAUCUGCCUAUUAGUGGGGGACAACAUUCCGAAAGGAAUGCUAAUACCGCAUACGCCCUACGGGGGAAAGCAGGGGAUCUUCGGACCUUGCGCUAAUAGAUGAGCCUAAGUCAGAUUAGCUAGUUGGUGGGGUAAAGGCCUACCAAGGCGACGAUCUGUAGCGGGUCUGAGAGGAUGAUCCGCCACACUGGGACUGAGACACGGCCCAGACUCCUACGGGAGGCAGCAGUGGGGAAUAUUGGACAAUGGGCGAAAGCCUGAUCCAGCCAUGCCGCGUGUGUGAAGAAGGCCUUUUGGUUGUAAAGCACUUUAAGCGAGGAGGAGGCUACUUAGAUUAAUACUCUAGGAUAGUGGACGUUACUCGCAGAAUAAGCACCGGCUAACUCUGUGCCAGCCGCCGCCGUAAAAC
rnacentral:rRNA from 1 species